rnacentral:rRNA from 1 species
AACCAUGAUUCCCCUAGUAACGGCGAGUGAAGAGGGAAAAGCUCAAAGUUGGAACCUGGCUGCCCUAGGCAGUCCGGAUUGUAAACUAAAGAGCGUGAUUCCAGGCAAGCCGGUUGACCAAGUCCUUUGGAAUGAGGCGCCACUGAGGGUGAGAGCCCCGUAAGUCGACUGAGCAUUUGUCUUUUGUGCUUCGCGUUCAAAGAGUCAGGUUGUUUGGGAAUGCAGCCUAAAGCUGGUGGUAAAUCCCACCUAAAGCUAAAUACAGGCGAGAGACCGAUAGCGAACAAGUACCGUGAGGGAAAGAUGAAAAGAACUUUGAAAAGAGAGUUAAACAGUAUGUGAAAUUGCCAAGAGGGAAGCAUUUGGAGUUAGAUUGACUAGGAGUUAAUCAGCUUGGUCUUUGGACUGGGUGUACUUGACUUCUUACAGUCUGCCAAUAGCAGUUAGUCCUAGUGGAAAAAACCAGAGGGAAGGUAGUCCUUCGGGAUGUUUAUAGACCUUUGGAAAAUACACUGGGAUUGACUGAGGAAUGCAGUAGAUGCCACUAAGGCUUCGUCUAGUGGGUGCUAGGCAAAGGUACUUGGUAUUUUCAGCUUGCUGAUGUGCUAGGUUACUCGAGUCUAGUCGCCUACUAGAACUGUAAUCUACUUUGGUUAUUGGCUUAAUG